GAGUUAGGCGAAAUACUUCAACUGUAAGAAGCAAGGGCAUUGAAAAAGAAACUAUCCUCAAUACCUUGCCUCUCUAGAUCCGAACAGGUCGAGAAAGAAUCAAGCUAUUACUAGAUAAGAUAAUUAUAUGAUAACAUCUUGUAAUUUCUUAAUUUGUGAUUCUAUUACCUAGGUAUUAGAUAUUGAAAAUCCUUUUAAUAUUU
rnacentral:lncRNA from 1 species